AAUUGACCUCAAAUCAGGUAGGAUUACCCGCUGAACUU
rnacentral:rRNA from 1 species